rnacentral:rRNA from 1 species
UGGGGAAUAUUGCACAAUGGAGGGAACUCUGAUGCAGCGACGCCGCGUGAGUGAUGAAGGAAUUCGUUUCGUAAAACUCUGUUCUAUGGGAAGAAAAGGACUGUACCAUAGGAGAAAGCUCCGGCUAAAUACGUGCCAGCAGCCGCGGUAAUACGUAUGGAGCGAGCGUUGUCCGGAAUUAUUGGGCGUAAAGGGUGCGCAGGCGGCUUUACAAGUUGGAUGUGAAAUAUUGUGGCUCAACCACAAACGUGCAUCCAAAACUGCAAAGCUUGAGUUAAGGAGAGGUAAGUGGAAUUCCAGGUGUAGCGGUGGAAUGCGUAGAUAUCAGGAGGAAUACCGGUGGCGAAGGGGACUUACUGGACUUAAACUGACGCUCAGGCACGAAAGGGUGGGGAGCAAACAGG